rnacentral:lncRNA from 1 species
AUGGUUGAUUAAUGAUUGUGAAUCGUUGAAGAGUAUAAUUAUCAAUGUGAUUGAUGAUUAAUCCUAAGCAAAAGUUAUAAUCAUGUAAUUCACUAAGUGUUAGUGAAUUAUAGGAGGAUUAAUUAGCAAUUAGAUUGCUAAUUGACUUAAUUUGAUUAAGCAAUGAGGUUCGGAUUAAAUCUCAUUGAAUUGAAUUCAAUUUGAUUUGGAUUGGGGUUGAUUGGAUCGAG